rnacentral:rRNA from 1 species
AGUGAACGCUGGCGGCAGGCCUAACACAUGCAAGUCGAACGAAAUCUUCGGAGUUAGUGGCGGUUGGGUGAGGAACACGUGGGAACGUGCCGGUUGGUUCGGAAUAAUUCAGUGAAACUUGUGCUAAUGCAGAAUGUGCUCUUCUGGGGAAAGAUUGAUCGUCAUUAGAGCGGCGCGCGACUGAUUAGCUUGGUGGUGAGGUAACCGCGCAUCACGGCGUCGAUCAGUAGCUGGGCUGAGAGGAAGACCAGCGACACUGGGGCUGAGACACGGCAGAGAAUCCUACGCGAGGGGGGAGAGGGGGAUCUAGCGCAAUGGGGGGAGGCCUGACGGAGCCCUGCUGGGUGAAUCAUGUUGGUCGUAGGAAAGUACAAUUGUUUAAGCGGGGACGAUAAUGACGGUACCCGGAGAAGAAGCCCCGGCUAACUUCGUG